rnacentral:lncRNA from 1 species
UAAUGUUGACAGAGAUUCCUUUGUUCAUUUUUUACUUGUUCUGCCUUCAUCACUUCCAUAGAAUAUAAUUCUCAUACACUCCAGUUGGAAGUAAGCACCAGAGAAAACCAUGUGUUUCAUUAUCAGCCAACAAACAAAAAUUCAAGAUUGAGGAAGGAAGAUGUAUAAAGUUGUCGAGAGUUUUACUUCCAGGAGGAGCUAAUUGGUUGCUCUCCAAAGUCAGAAAGGUGGAAGCUGCUGAGAAGUGAGCCCUCUUC